AUGGUUGCCUGCUUUGAUUUUGUUCGUUUAACUCUGGCUGGUGAUCUUCAUAUACUGUUGUAUCCAUAUCGUGCCAGCAGUUAUCAUAUUAUAUUGACAUUCUUUUUGCCCCUCCCGCUCCAGUGCACAGGAGUUUCCUCCAAGACCUCUUAUUCACCUUUGUAUUACCUGCUCUUGGCCCAGUGUCUCAGUUCAUGCCCUGUUAAGGUUGGUUGACUUGUUAAGCUGAACUCUGUUCCUUUGUUUUUGCAGCAGAGCUUUGUUUCUCUCUAUGCCGACUGGGGAAGAAACCCUGCAUUGGUUGCAUAUUUGAUACCCAAUUAAUAUGUUACAAGCUGUUUCAGGUUGUAGAAGUCAUGGAGCCUGGUUGGAGUGAUGUUGAUCAGUCACAUGACUGUGCAAAGCAGGUGAGAGUUAUGGUUAUUCAUUCACUGUUGUCCUCUGGAGAGUCUCAUUGAUGAUUAGCUUGCUGGAAGAUAUGAGUUGGUAGUCCUCCGUCUGGUCUGGCCCUUCUUAGCCUCUGGCAGCUGAGAGAAAGAUGUGAAUUCUCUGCCCACAGACUGUCCAGUCUUGUGGGGCAGCCUGCCAAGAGUCUCAAGUCACAUGCCCAGGGAGUUGCUGCUACAUUUUUUCUUCCUUGUCUUUUUCAAGGCUGCCAUUGUUGGGCUUUCUGCCUAGUGUCCCUGAGUUGUAGCUCUUUUAGUUCUCUGGGUGCUGAACUCCAAGCAUUGCUGAGCAGCCGAUGCAAUUUUUAUUUUGGCUGAAUUACUUCCACCCAGUAGGCAAAGCGUGUUUUUUAUGAUGCCGCACUACCAGGCACGACUUGCUGCCGGGACCUGUAUGCUGAGCCUCUGGUCCUUGGUACCUGCAGCGUGCCCCAGAAUGUCCCCAAGCCGGGGUGUGCGGGAUGUGGUGCAAGAGGCAGCUUUUCCUCACCCAUGUCCUGAAAGAGAGAAACCCUAGUCCUGUGGUACAGGCCAUGAACUAACCCUCAUGCUUAGCUCUUUCUAGGUAGGAAUUCCAGAGCGUAUUCUCUUUGCAGAGCUGAGCCCUGAGCCUCUUCGUAAUAUCUUCAUAUACAAGAGUAUUCAGGCACCACAAGAAGGUUAGUACUUCAAGCUGUGUUGUAGUGGUAGUAUUGGAUUAAAAUUGAGCCUCUGCACACAUGGUCCUGGUCCAUGUGUUUGUGAAAUGGUUCAUGAGGUUAGAAGUUCAGUAGAUGGAUAUCUAGUGGGAUGAAAUGGAUUAAUCCUUAAGUUUAUUGAACCACUAACCUUCACUUUCCUUAACAUGGUGUUCUAAGUAAUAGCCGUGAUCUUAGCAUGACCCCAUCACCCUGAGCCACGUCUUCAGAUGAGUAAUAGGGAGAAAAGAGAAAACUGGGAGUCUGGAGGAGAACUUAGAAAAUUUUCUUUUUUCUUCCUUGUUUGGCAUUUUCUUUCCAUUUAAUUUCUGUGUUCUCUUAUGUGAGAAGCACUAUUGGAUUCAUGUAAAACCUAUAUUGUAAUAUUGACCCAUUCACUUUCCAACUGUGUAGCUCUGUAGCCCUUACUAUUCUCUAUGAGUUGUCAUUUCCUUCUCUGCAAAAACAAGAUGCUGCCACUACUUAGCUUACGUGGCUUUUUUAAACAUUAAGUGCUGUGUGAAGAAGUGUACUUGCAGCACUAUUCACAAUAGCCAAGACAUGGAAACAACCCAAAUGUCCAUCGACAGAUGAUUGGAUUCGGAAGAUGUGGUAUAUAUACACAAUGGAAUACUACUCAGCCAUAAAAAAGAAUGACAUAAUGCCAUUUGCAGCAACAUGGAUGGAACUAGAGAAUCUCAUACUGAGUGAAAUGAGCCAGAAAGACAAAGACAAAUACCAUAUGAUAUCACUUAUAACUGGAAUCUAAUAUCCAGCACAAAUGAACAUCUCCUCAGAAAAGAAAAUCAUGGACUUGGAGAAGAGACUUGUGGCUGCCUGAUGGGAGGGGGAGGGACUGGGAGGGAUCGGGAGCUUGGGCUUAUCAGACACAACCUAGAAUAGAUUUACAAGGAGAUCCCGCUGAAUAGCAUUGAGAACUAUGUCUAGAUACUCAUGUUGCAACAGAAGAAAUGGUGGGGGAAAAACUGUAAUUGUAAUGUAUACAUGUAAGGAUAACCUAACCCCCUUGCUGUACAGUGGGAAAAAAAAAAAAAGAAAAGAAAAAAAAAUCCUAAAUACCCACUGUACAGGCACUGAGUGAAGGAGAAGGCAGCUUCCUAGAGCUGUCAGCAGCCCCACGGGUAAUAGAAUAAAGCAGACAUGUGAGAGGGUGUGAUAGGUAGCUGCUGAGGAGGCCUGUGUACUGUGCAAAGACAGAGGGAGGACCCCCCCCUCCUGAAGCCAGUGGAGCAGAAGGGGUGGCAAAAAGUCCGGGGAGGGUUCCUGAAGGAAUGGGUUUUUGAACUGUGGCUUGUUGACGAGAAGGACGUUCCAGGCAGAGGGAACUACAUGGCAAAGAAAAGCAUGUAAAGUAGCAUGUGGAGUGCUGCGGUGAGCUACCUCAUUGUGUCGAUGUGUGACACGGAGUGCUGGAAGGGGAAGUUGAUGGCCGGCCCACGAAGGCCUUUCUGUCAUGCUCAGAAACUUGGUUUGUAUUUUUUAGAGAACGGGAUCUAGUCAUCCCAGGGCUCUGGGGUGCAGCCUGAUCAGAUUUGCAUCUUGGAAGCAUCCCUCUGUUCGGUGCUCUGGCGCAGAUUCUGUUGGUGGGAGACAAGAUGAGGAGAACCGGGGACAUUUGCUAAGAGGAUAGCGCAGGGGUUCUGAGGCCAGAUGGGAGGGUCUGAACUGAAAGCCUGUGGCAGAAGGGAUGAAGAGUACACCAACCAAGAGUAGCUGACGAGGUGAAAGCUUUGAUUCUUUCAUCUUAAAGGGUGGAGAAGCAUCCGGGGGAAUCAGAUUCUUGUCUUGGGUGCUUUGGAAUGGGAGAUUAAGGAAGAAGAGCAGAUUUUGGAAAAAAAAAAAUGAUAAAUUCAGUUUUGGUCACAUUGAAUUGUUGUUGCUUAUGGAAUGUGAUUCAAGGGAAGGGAACACGAGGAAGCAGUUCCAUAUUAUGGGUCCAGGGCUUAAGGGAGGUCAGAGCCAGAGACGUAGCUUUUCACCUUAAUCAAUAAUAGUAAAGUAGGAAACAAGAAGUAAAAUGGUCCCUUUGUCUUGCACUGUGACAGAAGGACAGACCUUCACAAUAUAUCACAAAUGACGUUGUCGUUAAAAAUGUCUGGCAGAUCCCCCUCCCCUCCUGCCUCAGUUCUGUCCUUAGUAGAGAUGGACUGUUGUUACCUCCCUUUUCUCUCUCGAUUCCCACAGGGCCUUUUGGUUUGAAAUACUGCUUUGAAAUUAAAUAAAUGAUUUUUAUUUUUUUCCAUUAUAAAAAUCAUUUAUUUAAUUUCAAAGCAAUGAAAUUAAACAAGAUUGAAUUUUUUGAAGGGUCUUAAAUUUUAAUGCGAUACUUUGCAUAACUCCAUGCUGCAUUUUAAUGUGGCUCAGCAUAGCUUCUGUUGCCUCUGGGGGUGCUUCUCAGUAAUUUACUAUUAUUAUUUUGUCAUUAACUCUCAGACAAAAGUUGGGAGAACAAUUAGGAUGUAUUCCCUAGGCUGUAAAAGGGUUAAGUGUAAGUGUCUCGGCUACAAUGGCUUUUUGUCUUCUCCCUCAGCACACCCUGCCUUCCCUCUCCUGGGGGCUCUGCAGUUUUACUUCAGAGUCAGUAUGUCACUGAGGGGCAGCAUUCAGUGACAGAGUUGUUGCAGCUUGGAAUUUUUGGAUAAUGUUCCACAUCGUUACCUUUCUUCCUACCAUUCCCUCUUCUUUUCUCUGCAGGGAAGACAGACUUCACCUUAUUUCGGUGGACCUUAGGAAAUCAUAUCCUUGCAUGUUCUCAUUCUGGAGUUCCUGUCGUGGCUCAGUGGUUAACAAACCCGACUAGUAUCAUCAAUGAGGACGUGGGUUCCAUCCCUGGCCUUGCUCAGCAGGUUAAGGAUCUGGCGUUGCCGUGAGCUGUGGUGUAGGUUGCAGACGCAGCUUGGAUCCUGUGUGGCUGUGACUGUGGUGUCGGCUGGCAGCUACAGCUCCAACUGAUUUGACCCUUAGCCUGGGAACCUCCGUAUGCCUCAGGUGUGGCCUUAAUAAGACAAAAGAUG
rnacentral:lncRNA from 1 species